rnacentral:lncRNA from 1 species
CUUCUUCCCCUUGGCCUUCUUUCUUUUGGGUAUCUGGUGGAGAAUAAGAAGGCUCAGAUGGUGGUGAUUGCCCAUGAUGUAGAUCCUAUUGAGUUGGUGGUUUUCCUGCAUGUUCUGUGUCAUAAGAUUGGGAUGCCUUAUUGCAUCAUCAAGGGAAAGGCAGGACUGGGGUGCCUGGUCCAUAGGAAGACAUGCACCACUGUUGCCUUCACAUAGGUUAACUCAGGAGACAAGGGUGCUCUUGCUAAUCUGGUGGAAGCUAUUGGGACUAAUUAUAAUGACAGAUAUAAAGAGAUCUCUCACCACAGGGGAGGCAACGUCCUGGGUCCUCAGUCUGUGGCUCACAUUGCCAAGCUGGAAAAAGGCAAA